AACGAACGCUGGCGGCAGGCUUAACACAUGCAAGUCGAACGGGUGUAGCAAUACAUCAGUGGCAGACGGGUGAGUAACACGUGGGAACCUUCCUAGGGGUACGGAACAACUCAGGGAGACUUGAGCUAAUACCGUAUACGUCCGUGAGGAGAACGAUUUAUCGCCCUUAGACGGGCCCGCGUCGGAUUAGCUAGUUGGUGGGGUAACGGCCUACCAAGGCGACGAUCCGUAGCUGAUCUUAGAGGAUGAUCAGCCACACUGGGACUGAGACACGGCCCAGACUCCUACGGGAGGCAGCAGUGGGGAAUCUUGGACAAUGGGCGCAAGCCUGAUCCAGCCAUACCGCGUGAGUGAAGAAGGCCUUAGGGUUGUAAAGCUCUUUUGCCAGGGACGAUAAUGACGGUACCUGGAGAAUAAGCCCCGGCAAACUUCGUGCCAGCAGCCGCCGUAACAC
rnacentral:rRNA from 1 species